rnacentral:rRNA from 1 species
AUUGAACGCUGGCGGCAGGCCUAACACAUGCAAGUCGCACGAGUGGAGGACGGGUGAGUAAAGUCCGGGAAACAGUCUGAUGGCGGGGGAUAACUAAUUGAAACAGUAGCUAAGAUCGCACACCAUCAGAUGUGCCCAGAUGGGAGUAGCGAGUUGGUGGGGUAACGGUUCACCAAGGCGCCGAUCCCUAGCUGGUCUGAGAGGAUGAGCAGCCACAAUGGAACUGAUACACGGGCCAGACUCCUACGGGAGGCAGCAGUGGGGAAUAUUGCACAAUGGGCGCAAGCCUGAUGCAGCCAUGCCGCGUGGAUGAAGAAGGCCUUCGGGUUGUAAAGUACUUUCAGCGGGGAGGCGUUACCCGCAGAAGAAGCACCGGCUAACUCCGUGCCAGCAGCCGCGGUAAUUC